ACACCAGACUCCUACGGGAGGCAGCAGUGAGGAAUAUUGGUCAAUGGCCGGAAGGCUGAACCAGCCAAGCCGCGUGAGGGAGGAAGGCGCAGAGCGUCGCAGACCUCUUUUGCCGGGGGACAAAAGGCCGGACGGGUCCGGUUCUGAGGGUACCCGGAGAAAAAGCAUCGGCUAACUCCGUGCCAGCAGCCGCGGUAAUACGGAGGAUGCGAGCGUUAUCCGGAUUUAUUGGGUUUAAAGGGUGCGCAGGCGGAUUUUUAAGUCAGCGGUCAAAUCGUGGGGCUCAACCCCAUCCAGCCGUUGAAACUGGGGAUCUAGAGUGUGCGAGAGGUAUGCGGAAUGCGUGGUGUAGCGGUGAAAUGCUUAGAUAUCACGAAGAACUCCGAUUGCGAAGGCAGCCUACUAAACUGCCACUGACAUUGAUGCUCGAAAGUGUGGGUAUCAAACAGGAUUAGAUACCCUAGUA
rnacentral:rRNA from 1 species